AGCGAACGCUGGCGGCAGGCCUAACACAUGCAAGUCGAACGAGACCUUCGGGUCUAGUGGCGCACGGGUGCGUAACGCGUGGGAAUCUGCCCUUGGGUGCGGAAUAACAGUUAGAAAUGACUGCUAAUACCGCAUAAUGACUCCGGUCCAAAGAUUUAUCACCCAAGGAUGAGCCCGCGUCGGAUUAGCUAGUUGGUGAGGUAAAAGCUCACCAAGGCGACGAUCCGUAGCUGGUCUGAGAGGAUGAUCAGCCACACUGGGACUGAGACACGGCCCAGAAGCCUACGGGGGGAAGCAGUGGGGAAUAUUGGACAAUGGGCGAAGGCUUGAUCCAGCAAUGCCGCGUGAGUGAUGAAGGCCUUAGGGUUGUAAAGCUCUUUUACCCGGGAUGAUAAUGACAGUACCGGGAGAAUAAGCCCCGGCUAACUCCGUGCCAGCAGCCGCCGUAACAC
rnacentral:rRNA from 1 species